UGGGGAUUGCUGGAAAAUGAUUGUGUGAUAACGGAAUAGUAGCAGGAUAUAACAAAUACUAUGAUGAUGUUAAGAAGUAACACAAGUAACCGAAGUUGAUAUAAAAUUGAGGUGAGUCAAUUUAAUCAAGCACACACAAAGAGGGAUGAAGCGAAAUUGAAGAUAACAAGAAGAUUGCGAAGCGUGGACCCUCCAUCAGUCUGCCUACUACUAAGGCUGAAAGGUUAAAGGCGCUGGCAUACUAUAUAAACACUGAAGCCUGACCUCGGAAGGGUAACAGUGACAUAUUAGUAUGGAUGAUAAGGCCUCGGCUUAUACAUUUGGGGCAGCGCUAUUAAUAAAUUAUACCCGGUGUUUACAAUAAGAGAAACGGGGAAGGGGUUCGAUUCCUCCGCUGACUGGUGCCUGAUGGCAGGUUCCCUUAUAAGAGGAUACAAUCCCAAAUGUAGAAUCUUAGUCUCUGUAAACACUUAAAAUCAGUCCAAUAGCGUAUAUUAAAGUUGUUGCAGUUAAAAAGCUCGUAGUUGAAACUUGGGUCUGGCUGGCGGGUCCGCCUCACCGCGUGCACUCGUCCGGCCGGGCCUUCCUUCUGAAGAACCUCAUGCCCUUUACUGGGCGUGUUGGGGAAUCAGGACUUUUACUUUGAAAAAAUUAGAGUGUUCAAAGCAGGCCUUUGCUCGAAUACGUUAGCAUGGAAUAAUAAAAUAGGGCGUGCGUUUCUAUUUUGUUGGUUUCUAGAGACGCCGCAAUGAUUAACAGGAACAGUCGGGGGCAUCAGUAUUCAGUUGUCAGAGGUGAAAUUCUUGGAUUUACUGAAGACUAACUACUGCGAAAGCAUUUGCCAAGGAUGUUUUCAUUAAUCAGUGAACGAAAGUUAGGGGAUCGAAGACGAUCAGAUACCGUCGUAGUCUUAACCGUAAACUAUGCCGACUAGGGAUCGGGCGAUGUUCUUUUUCUGACUCGCUCGGCACCUUACGAGAAAUCAAAGUUUUUGGGUUCUGGGGGGAUUAUGGUCGCAAGGCUGAAACUUAAAGAAAUUGACGGAAGGUCACCACCAGGCGUGGAGCCUGCGGCUUAAUUUGACUCAACACGGGGAAACUCACCAGGUUCAGAUGAAAUAAGGAUUGACAGAUUGAGAGCUCUUUCUUGAUUUUUCAGGUGGUGGUGCAUGGCCGUUCUUAGUUCGUGGGGUGACUUGUCUGCUUAAUUGCGAUAACGAGCGAGACCUUACUCUGCUAAAUAGCCAGGCUAGCUUUGGCUGGUCGCCGGCUUCUUAGAGAGACUAUCAACUCAAGUUGAUGGAAGUUUGAGGCAAUAACAGGUUAACCUACACAGGCCUGUAACAGUGGGCCUCGUUAAAGAUAACUGCUAGUCUAGCGUCUUAACCUUCUUUGGGGAAGUCCCCUACUGUCGGGAGAAGGCAAGUUUUACUUGUGACGUAGGCAACACCACCUGGUACAGGGAACGCCGGAUCUGCUAUUGCGUGUGCAGAUUG
rnacentral:rRNA from 1 species